UACGAAGGGGGCUAGCGUUGUUCGGAAUUACUGGGCGUAAAGGGUGCGCAGGCGGCUUGCUAAGACAGGUGUGAAAGCCCCGAGCUUAACUUGGGAAUGGCGCUUGUGACUGGCAGGCUGGAGUGUGGCAGAGGGAGGUGGAAUUCCACGUGUAGCAGUGAAAUGCGUAGAGAUGUGGAGGAACACCGAUGGCGAAGGCAGCCUCCUGGGCCAACACUGACGCUCAUGCACGAGAGCGUGGGGAGCAAACAGG
rnacentral:rRNA from 1 species